CGGCGGACGGGUGAGUAACGCGUGGGUAACCGUGCCUCAUACAGGGGGAUAACAGUUGGAAACGGCUGCUAAUACCGCAUAAGCGCACAGUACCGCAUGGUACCGUGUGAAAAACUCCGGUGGUAUGAGAUGGACCCGCGUCUGAUUAGCUAGUUGGUGGGGUAACGGCCUACCAAGGCGACGAUCAGUAGCCGACCUGAGAGGGUGACCGGCCACAUUGGGACUGAGACACGGCCCAA
rnacentral:rRNA from 1 species